UCUCCCACAGCGCGGCGGCGCCCGCUCCCCCUCGCCUCUCGGGCCGCACCGGUCUCUUCCCUCACCGCGAAGCGGGCGCACGUAGGGCGUCUGCCGGCGAAUGAGGCCGCGAGCGAUCCCAUGGCGCUGCGGCGCCUGCAUCCCUCGCCUCUCCGAUCACACCGGUCUGCUGCCUAAGCACGAAGUGGGUGCAUGUAGGGCGGCCGCCGGCGAGCGAUCCCGUGGCGCUAUGGCGCCUGCAUCCCUCGCUUUUCCGAUCGCACCGGUAUGCUCCCUAAGCACGAAGUGGGUGCAUGCAGGGUGGCUGCCGGCGAACGAGACCGCGGCGCGGCGGUCUGCUCCCUGCCGGUUUGAGAUCUGCACUGGUCUCCUCCCUGCUGGCCGUUCUACGGGGAAGAUCACUGAGUACUUCGUCUAAAUCUGCUGCAAACGACCAGCACUCUGUGCCAAGAAGUGAAAGUAUUUCACCCCUCACACGUGCUCCCUGCCUCACAUGUGAUGUCAUGAAAAUGGACGGAUGUGAUAGUGAAGGAACCAGAGGGAAUGAUAUUACUGUAUCAGCAAUGGUGUUGAUACGUAGAAGAAAAUAAAAAUGAGGAAGAUACUAAAAGACACAUAGAAGUAACACAUAUGAGAAAUUCAUAUACCCAUCAUGUCUUGGAUGAGAAACAGUAUGAAAACUUCAAUGAAAAGUUCAGCACUGCCAAACCAUUUGGAAAUGCCACCAGAAAUGAAAAACAAUUAGGGGGUAGAUGCACUAGAGGAAGGAAAGAGGAGCUCCAGUUUGAUCCCAUACUUUGUGUCAUAAUUUCAUAUCGAUAAAUUCUUUUGUCUCAAUGAUUCACUAUAUAAUUCUCAUUGACGAACUUUGGGCGGUACCUUGAUGAAUUUACUUCAAAUCUUUACUAUUAAAGGGUACGUUUUGUUUUGGUAUGUUCACCUCCUUCGCUACAUGGGACCUAUCCAUCAUUUUCAUUUUCAAUAUAUUAAGUGAAGCUUUCUCUUUUUUAUUUAAUUUGAUUAUGCUAGAAAGGAGGAAUACAUAGUUUUGCUAUGUAAUAGUAUAAAUAAGAUAAGGAAGAGGGUAUUGCAACUAGCAAGGUAGCCUAUUCACAGUAUGACCGUGAACUUCCUUAAAAUAUGUAUGGUUGUUGUAUCCUACCACACUAUAAUUUUUCCAUGAUUUGUGUGCGGUUUGUAAGACUCAAAUCUUCAAAAAGCACACGUCUUUUCAUAUUGAAAAUGUACCUCUGUUGUAACUUUGACUGUCAGUCAUUCAGUUCGAGGUGAAAACACACAGAAAACUGUACUGUUAAGUGGUGUUGUCUCCUAUGCAUGGAUCAACCUGGAUGGAGGGCGGUGGAUCGGGGACGUAGCGGCAGUGGCCAGUUGAGUGCAUGAGAUUACUUUUGAAGCAAACUGCAACUUUCUUGAGGUGCCCAAUACUAAACUGGGAGGUGCUAGGAGGCUGAUGCUUAACUACAUCGGGAUGAAACUGAUAUCGAGAUAUUCAUUUUUGGGGGGAUCUUUUUGUGGUGAUGAUAGCUACCCUUGGUAUUGGAGAAGACCGAGGAGGAUAGAUAGUCAAUGGUGCAGGCUGCAUGACUUGGCCGAAGGUUGGCGCAAGUAUUCAUGGGGCCAGAGAAACGGGAGUUGGAACUUCCGAAAAAUGCUUUUAACUGACAUCUGUUGUAGCUCCAC